AUGGAGAGCAAAACAUGGAGAAUGCCACAGAGAGAAAACAACAUGGAGAAUGCCACAGAGAGAAAACAACAUGGAGAAUGCCACAGAGAGAAAACAACAUGGAGAAUGCCACAGAGAGAAAACCACAUGGAGAAUGCCACAGAGAGAAAACAACAUGGAGAAGUCAAUAUGAACCACUCCACCUCAGGAGUGGGCAUGCCUCCAGCGAUACACACUACAGACUGGCCUGAGGCUGAGCCAUGGUGGAGGUCCAUCAGGUCCACAAUGACUGCAGGCUGAAGCUGUGGCUGUGCGUCUGGUUCCCGUUCUGCACUCUGAUGGUGUAGUUCCCACUGUCCUCCUCCUUGGCCCGGAUCAGGGUCAGAACACUCAGUUUUCCAGGGUACUUCCAGUGGUCUUCCAGUAUCUCAGACCCCCGGGCCACACAGGUGACAGUGAUGGUGUCUCCCACCAAGAGA